UUUUAGGCAAUUUCUGCUCAAUGACAAAUAAAUAGCUGCAAUAUAUUAAUUGUACUAAGGUAGCAUAAUAAAUUGUUUUUUAAUUAAAAAAUAGAAUGAAAGAAAAAAUAAAAAAUAACUAUUUAUUAAAAUUAAAUUAAAAAUUAAUUUUAAAGUAAAAAAUCUUUAAUAAACAAAAAAGACAAGAAGACCCUUUAGAAUUUAAUAAAACAAUUUAUUAUAUUGGGGAGAUAACAAAAUUUAAAAAACUUUUGUUAAAAAAAAACUAAUAAGUAAAAAAGAUAAAUUAACCAUAACAUUUUAAAAAAAAUAAAUUACCUAAGGGAUAACAGUGCAAAAUUAUUUUAAAGAUCAAAUUUUAAAUAUAAAUUGCAACCUCGAUGUUGGAUUAAGAA
rnacentral:rRNA from 1 species